rnacentral:pre_miRNA from 1 species
ACAUCUUUCGGACCGUCGGUAUACCGAGCAAUAUCCGCUCGGUGGAAGAUCUUCCCUUUGUCGU